rnacentral:lncRNA from 1 species
CAGACCAUACACCACUACCUUAGGUGAAGUAAAGAGACUGUUUCCAAUAGACCCCCGGCUUAGAAUCGAUAACAGUAUAACAAACACAAAAGAUAAGUGCAAAAUAAACUAACACUGCUAGCAACAAAAUAAUACUACAACCACAAGAUAAUAAUAAGAACUAUCUAACCAAAAUCAUAGACAUCACACAGUACCACAAAUAAGAAACUACAGACACAAAAGAACACAUCCUUAUUGUUACCGACGCACUCCCAACCCUAACCCUCUACCCUAAUUUGCGCCGUCCGCACCUUCCUAUCAAGGGUUAUGUCCUCCGUAAGUUGUAACUGCUUCAUAUCAUGUCUAAUCACCUCCCUUCAAUAAUUCUUCAGUCUACUUCUACCCCGCC